rnacentral:rRNA from 1 species
CAAAAUGACUCUCGGCAACGGAUAUCUCGGCUCUUGCAUCGAUGAAGAACGUAGCGAAAUGCGAUACUUGGUGUGAAUUGCAGAAUCCCGUGAACCAUCGAGUCUUUGAACGCAAGUUGCGCCCGAAGCCACUAGGCCGAGGGCACGCCUGCCUGGGUGUCACACA